GAUGAACGCUAGCUACAGGCUUAACACAUGCAAGUCGAGGGGAAACGGCAUUGAGUGCUUGCACUCUUUGGACGUCGACCGGCGCACGGGCGAGUAACGCGUAUCCAACCUUCCCAUUACUGUGGGAUAACCUGCCGAAAGGCAGACUAAUACCGCAUGGUCUUCGAUGACGGCAUCAGAUUUGAAGUAAAGAUUUAUCGGUAAUGGAUGGGGAUGCGUCUGAUUAGCUUGUUGGCGGGGUAACGGCCCACCAAGGCAACGAUCAGUAGGGGUUCUGAGAGGAAGGUCCCCCACAUUGGAACUGAGACACGGUCCAAACUCCUACGGGAGGCAGCAGUGAGGAAUAUUGGUCAAUGGACGGAAGUCUGAACCAGCCAAGUAGCGUGCAGGAUGACGGCCCUAUGGGUUGUAAACUGCUUUUGUAUGGGGAUAAAGUUAGGGACGUGUCCCUAUUUGCAGGUACCAUACGAAUAAGGACCGGCUAAUUCCGUGCCAGCAGCCGCGGUAAUACGGAAGGUCCAGGCGUUAUCCGGAUUUAUUGGGUUUAAAGGGAGCGUAGGCUGGAGAUUAAGUGUGUUGUGAAAUGUAGACGCUCAACGUCUGAAUUGCAGCGCAUACUGGUUUCCUUGAGUACGCACAACGUUGGCGGAAUUCGUCGUGUAGCGGUGAAAUGCUUAGAUAUGACGAAGAACUCCGAUUGCGAAGGCAGCUGACGGGAGCGCAACUGACGCUUAAGCUCGAAGGUGCGGGUAUCGAACAGG
rnacentral:rRNA from 1 species